rnacentral:rRNA from 1 species
CCCUGGUAUAAUUUAUUGAAAAUAAUUUAGUAAAUUAAUAAAAAUUAAUAAUUUUGGCGGUUAAUUAUAUAAUUAGAGGAGCUUGUUGAAAUGAGAAUUUACUCUUUAUAUUUUAAUAUUUAUGGUUUAUUCAUCUCUGUUAAUUAGGUGAGAAGCUAUUUUAAAAAUAUUUUUUAUUUCAGGUCAAGAUGUAGCAAUUUAAUAUUGAAAAUUAGCUACAAUUAUAAAAUAAUAUAUAUAAUAUUGGAAUGAAUUUUAUUAUAAAUUGAAUUUAGUUGUAAUAAUUAUUAGAAUGUAAUUAUGAUUUUGUAUAAUUAACGUA